rnacentral:rRNA from 1 species
GACGAACGCUGGCGGCGUGCUUAACACAUGCCAGUCGAACGGAAAGGCCCUGCUUUUGUGGGGUGCUCGAGUGGCGAACGGGUGAGUAACACGUGAGUAACCUGCCCUUGACUUUGGGAUAACUUCAGGAAACUGGGGCUAAUACCGGAUAGGAGCUCCUGCUGCAUGGUGGGGGUUGGAAAGUUUCGGCGGUUGGGGAUGGACUCGCGGCUUAUCAGCUUGUUGGUGGGGUAGUGGCUUACCAAGGCUUUGACGGGUAGCCGGCCUGAGAGGGUGACCGGCCACAUGGGGACUGAGGUACGGCCCAGACUCCUACGGGAGGCAGGAGUGGGGAAUAUUGCACAAUGGGCGGAAGCCUGAUGCAGCAACGACGCGUGCGGGAUGACGGCCUUCGGGUUGUAAACCGCUUUCGCCUGUGACGAAGCGUGAGUGACGGUAAUGGGGAAAGAAGCACCGGCUAACUACGU